rnacentral:rRNA from 1 species
AUUGAACGCUGGCGGCAGGCUUAACACAUGCAAGUCGAACGAGUGGCGGACGGGUGAGUAAUGUCUGGGAAACUGCCUGGUGGAGGGGGAUAACUACUGGAAACGGUAGCUAAUACCGCAUACUAUUGGAUGUGCCCAUAUGGGAUUAGCUUGUUGGUGGGGUAACGGCUCACCAAGGCCACGAUCCGUAGCUGGUAUGAGAGGAUGACCAGCCACACUGGGACUGAGACACGGUCCAGAAUCCUACGGGAGGCAGCAGUGGGGAAUAUUGGACAAUGGGGGAAAGCCUGAGGCAGCCAUGCCGCGUGUAUGAAGAAGGCCUUCGGGUUGUAAAGUACUUUUAGCAGGGAGGCGGUAUCUGCAGAAGAAGCACCGGCUAACUCCGUGCCAGCAGCCGCGGUAAUAC